CCUGACUGCUAUCGGAUUGAUACUAAGCCAUGCGAGUCAUUGUAGUAAUACAAGGCAGACGGCUCAGUAACGCGUAGUCAACCUACCUUAUGGACGGGGAUAACCUCGGGAAACUGAGAAUAAUACCCGAUAGAACAUUAUGCCUGGAAUGGUUUAUGUUUCAAAUAAUUUAUUGCCGUAAGAUGGGACUGCGGCCUAUCAGUUUGUUGGUGAGGUAAUGGCCCACCAAGACUAUUACAGGUACGGGCUCUGAGAGGAGUAGCCCGGAGAUGGGUACUGAGACACGGACCCAGGCCCUAUGGGGCGCAGCAGGCGAGAAAACUUUGCAAUGUGCGAAAGCACGACAAGGUUAAUCCGAGUGGUUUCUGCUAAAGGAACCUUUUGCCAGUCCUAGAAACACUGGUGAAUAAGGGGUGGGCAAGUUCUGGUGUCAGCCGCCGCGGUAAAACCAGCACCUCAAGUGGUCAGGAUGAUUAUUGGGCCUAAAGCAUCCGUAGCCUGCUUUGUAAGUUUUCGGUUAAAUCCAUAUGCUCAACGUAUGGGCUGCCGGGAAUACUGCAAAGCUAGGGAGUGGGAGAGGUAGACGGUACUCGGUAGGAAGGGGUAAAAUCCUUUGAUCUAUUGAUGACCACCUGUGGCGAAGGCGGUCUACCAGAACACGUCCGACGGUGAGGGAUGAAAGCUGGGGGAGCAAACCGGAUUAGAUACCCGGGUAGUCCCAGCUGUAAACUAUGCAAACUCAGUGAUGCAUUGGCUUGAUGCCAAUGCAGUGCCGCAGGGAAGCCGUUAAGUUUGCCGCCUGGGAAGUACGUACGCAAGUAUGAAACUUAAAGGAAUUGGCGGGGGAGCACCACAAGGGGUGAAGCCUGCGGUUC
rnacentral:rRNA from 1 species